GCGGGUCUGGCCCCCUCCCCCGAGCGCAGACAAAGAGCUGAGGCUCCGCCGCCCCCCACCCCAGUGCCUCUCACCCCAGGUUUGUUUGUCAUGACUGUUUAACUGUGUAUCGGAUUCCUUAGGAAAUAGUGGGAGAACACAAACUGCAGUUUGAAAAAAUCAAAGUUUAUCCAGGAUUCUCAAAGGGAAGCAUGUGAGAACAAUGACUUCCCAAGGUGUUGAUCAUCUCUGUUCAGACAGCUGCUGAUCAUGUGUGGACAAGAUGCACCAUGGAAUGGAUUUCUUGAUCCCUAUCUACAGAUGAAAUCACCUCCUGUGCAGUGCUAGCAGCCUCACCUGAGUCAGCACAUCCAAUGAGAGGUGCAACCUUUGCCAUGAAUAUUGCUAUCACUUCUUGCUUAUUUACCCACCUACCCUGAAAGAUUCCCUUUUCAUGCCAGUCAAUUCAAAAUGGCUUAUAAUUAUACAGUCAUGAAAGCUAUGACUACAAAAACUUAGCAGUUCUGCUGAUAUUGCCAUAUCUGUUUUAAGACAUACCACAUUUUGCUCUUAGUUGUAACUAUUUUGUGUCAGCUGUCCUAUGGUAAAUGCAAUUUCUUAAAAAGAUCAUGCCUUUCUCUCUCCUGGAAUGAAUUAUUCUUCCAGACCUUCCUCCUGGAAUAGAAAUUCAGCUUAAGUAAUUUUCAGAAAUUGUCCUCACAUGUAUUCUGAUAAUCAUAGAUGAUGCAAAUGACAAAGAGUGAAAUAACUGGAAAGGAAUUGCAGAUGAUAAUUUUAUUUUUUUUUGUAAAGGACCAUAUAACUAAGUAGGUGAGAAUCAGAGAAAUUGGCACCUGAUAGAAAGAAGUGUCUCCUGAAUAGGUUUGAAUUGGUUAAAUUUGCUGCUAUUACUAUUGCCAUGCCAUUUUCCUGGGAGGAGCAGCAAAACUAGAUUUUACUGUGAACUUUUCUUUUUGUACUUUACUGAAAGUGUAAGUGAGAUAACAAUAAAAUUCUUUCUUGGUCCAAGAGGUAUAGUGUAGAAAGGCUCUCCAUAUUUUCUUAGGAAACAUUAAGUUUUGGGGUAUCAGCAUUACUAAUCAGAGAUUAACUCUACAUAUGUAUCUGGGAACAUAGACAUGAGAGAUAAAUAGGUAUUGUGUCAUGUGUAGUCAGAAGAGUUGAAGUAUCCAUUUUAGCAAUAAAGGUAAGAUAUUACUCAUAUCUGAGCAAGACCUUACUUCUGUCUAGGCCUGAACAUGUUAACAUGUGGGAGUGUUAACACUGAUCUGCUUAAAUAUGAAUGUGGCUCACACAUCUUGGGCAUCCAUCUAGGCAAAGUCUAAGGGCUCCAAGGCAUGAUUGCAGAUUUUGUGAAGUGGCACACUUCACAAUUUAGGAGUAUAUGCACAUGUGCACACACUAGUCUUUCCUGUUAAUGUUACAAGAAAAAAAUUCAAUCUUCAGUUUCAUGCAUGAAGAGAAUAAUCUCCUUAGGAAAAAUGUUUCAAGCAAGGACAAGGUGGUCCAUACAGAAAGUGAUCUCUGUCUGAAAAUCUGUUUUCAUUUUGUUAACAUCUCUUUAAUGUGUAAAUCCAAUAAUGACUUGCACACUUCCAUUCUCUCAUUAUAAAAGCCGUGGUCAGUGAAGAACUGAAUAAAAGCAAUUCCAUAUGUUAUAA